rnacentral:rRNA from 1 species
GAUGAACGCUGGCGGCGUGCCUAAUACAUGCAAGUCGAGCGAAUGGAUUGAGAGCUUGCUCUUAUGAAGUUAGCGGCGGACGGGUGAGUAACACGUGGGUAACCUGCCCAUAAGACUGGGAUAACUCCGGGAAACCGGGGCUAAUACCGGAUAACAUUUUGAACCGCAUGGUUCGAAAUUGAAAGGCGGCUUCGGCUGUCACUUAUGGAUGGACCCGCGUCGCAUUAGAUAGUUGGUGAGGUAACGGCUCACCAAGGCAACGAUGCGUAGCCGACCUGAGAGGGUGAUCGGCCGCACUGGGACUGAGACACGGCCCAGACUCCUACGGGAGGCAGCAGUAGGGAAUCUUCCGCAAUGGACGAAAGUCUGACGGAGCAACGCCGCGUGAGUGAUGAAGGCUUUCGGGUCGUAAAACUCUGUUGUUAGGGAAGAACAAGUGCUAGUUGAAUAAGCUGGCACCUUGACGGUACCUAACCAGAAAGCCACGGCUAACUACGUGCCAGCCGCCGCAGUAA